rnacentral:rRNA from 1 species
AUUGAACGCUGGCGGCAGGCCUAACACAUGCAAGUCGAACGAGUGGCGGACGGGUGAGUAAUGUCUGGGAAACUGCCUGAUGGAGGGGGAUAACUACUGGAAACUGUAGCUAAUACCGCAUACCAUGGGAUGGGCCCCGAUGGGAUUAGCUAGUAGGUGGGGUAACGGCUAACCCAGGCGACGAUCCCUAGCUGGUCUGAGAGGAUGACCAGCCAACCUGGAACUGAGACACGGUCCAGACUCCUACGGGAGGCAGCAGUGGGGAAUAUUGCACAAUGGGCGCAAGCCUGAUGCAGCCAUGCCGCGUGUAUGAAGAAGGCCUUCGGGUUGUAAAGUACUUUCAGCGGGGAGGCGUUACCCGCAGAAGAAGCACCGGCUAACUCCGUGCCAGCAGCCGCGGUAAUUC